CCCUUAGAUGUUCUGGGCUGCACGCGCGCUACACUGAUGUGUCCAGUAAGCACCUAACCUCUUCCGAAAGGAACGGGUAACCUUUGCAAAGCACAUCGUGAUGGGGAUAGAUUAUUGCAAUUAUUAGUCUUGAACGAGGAAUUCCCAGUAAGCACAAGUCAUCAGCUUGUGUUGAUUACGUCCCUGCCCUUUGUACACACCGCCCGUCGCUCCUACCGAUUGAAUGUUCCGGUGAGCUCUUCGGACUGCGCGGUCUGCAGUUUCUGCGUUCCGUGCGGAAAGUUGCGCAAACCUUAACAUUUAGAGGAAGGAGAAGUCGUAACA
rnacentral:rRNA from 1 species